ensembl:lncRNA
CAAAAGCAGCUAGGGUAGGAAAGGGUUUAUUUUGUUUCAUAGAUCGUGGAGGGGAGUCAAGACGGGACCUUUAGGUGGGAACUUGAAGUAGAAAGUGUGGAGAGAGCUUACUUGCUGGCUUGCUCUCAGGCUCUGGCUCAGCUUUCUUAUUCAGCUCACGCAUACCUGCCUAAGGUAUGAACCAUCCAAUGUGGGCUGGGCCGUCCUACACCAAUUAACAUUAAAGAGAAUGAUCCACAGACAUGCCCACCAGACAAUUUGAUCUAGGCAACUCCCCACAUGGGGCUCUCUCUUCCUUGACACACUGUCAAGUUGACCACCCAAGAUUAGCCAUCGAAGAGGACACUUGAAAUAAACAUGCUGGAGUCUGGGAAAGCCCUUUUCACCCCCACGGUUUGCACUCAGUAAGUAUAAAUAAAGAACACAGUCACUCCACCAAUAUAACAUAUAUAUAACACACGCCUGGAAUUAGGCCUGCAAGGAUGAACUGGCCAGCACUUUCUCCACGGAGCUCCCGCAAAUGAGAACUGCAUUUCUGUGACUCUGACUCCUGAGGAGCAAGAACCAGGAGAGAGGAGCAGCAGGGAUACUGGGAUCAUAUCCGACUCAGAAGGGAAACAAAGCAAAUGGUUGACAAGCGGUGACCUUCGUCCUGCUGGAAAUAGAAUAAAGCAGCACCUGUUCUGCCACUUUUUUGCCCUGUCCACACAGACAAAAAUCUCUACUUAUUUGGAGAGCUUGGCCUCUAAGUUAACGAAGCUUGGCGGGGUGUGUGCUGAGCUCUUGGAGUGUACAGAAUUCACCAGUUCACACUGAAAGGAGCUUGAAAUUCUAAGUCCAGCAGAACUCAGUUCUGUGAAACUGAAGCUUUGCAUCCUCUGAUGAAAAUCUCCCCAUCUCUUCCGAUGCCUCCUUGUCCCUGGUGACCAACACUGGACUCCCCUUCAAAGUCCUUGGAUUGAGAGUGCUGAGGUCAGUGAAGCGCUGGGUGCACCAGCAGUUACAGUCAGUCAGAGAGCUCUGACUU